UUCGCGGAUAUUCGCGCAUCUCGCCGUGCGCAUCCAGCCUGUUCAAUACAUCUCCUGAUUUCCCCAGCUUCCAGCAGAUGGCGAGGAAACGUGCUGAUAAAAGGGAGGCUGCGCAGCUACCCCGGGAACUCGGCUGAACUCGGCUUUUCAUGUUCAUGAUGCAGACAUCUUUUUGACAAGAUUGGUUCUGAACGCAUUUAACGUCACGGUCAUUUCCGUGUCUGGACGCAUCAGAUCGGAUUGACAAAGUGGCAGUAACUUGGUAGCUGAAAAUGGGAGUGGCUGGAAGACAAGAGGACAACUCGCUCAAAAGAUAUCUUCGUGGCGCCUCUAUGCGACUGCAAGGAAUGAAGGAGGCCAGUGGAUCUCAGUCAUUAGGUGUGCCUGACUCUGUAGUCGGCAUCGAGGCAUCGAAUGGGAAUUGAUCGAUUAUGCUAACUGUCGACAGUGAAGAGAGAGAGAGAGAAAGAGAAACGACAGCGAAAGACAUCGGACACCAUCUCAAAGGGUCGAAGGGGAAAUGUUACAACUUAGGAUAUGACGCGUGUUCGGGAACUCUUGAGCCUUAACAUUUAAAGGUAGACGUUUCGAAUGAUAUAUAACCAAGGUUGGCAACGUUACUUUAUAAAAGUAAUUCAUUACCUAUUUCAUUCUCUUUUUUUAAAAAAUAAAACUGAAAAGUAUAACUCGUUACUGUUAUACUCGUUACUUAUU